GAUUAACGCUGGCCUCGUGCCUAAUACAUGUAAUUCUAGCGAACAGACUAGGAUCUUGCUCCUCUUACGUUAGCGGCGGACAGGUUAGUAACACGUUAAUAACCUACAUAUAAGACUGUGAUUACUUCGUUAAACCGGAGCUAUUACCCGUCACUCUUUUUAACCCUCUGGUUCAAUACUUAAAGACGGUUUUGCUUUUUCUUAUUACUGGCUCCUCGCCGCAUUAGCUAGUUGGUAAGGUAACGGCUUACCAAGGCAACAAUGCGUAGCCGACCUGAGAGGGUGAUCGGCCACACUGGAACUGAGACACGGUCCAGACUCCUACGGGAGGCAGCAGUAGGGAAUCUUCCGCAAUGGGCGAAAGCCUGACGGAGCAAAGCAGCGUGAGUGAUGAAGGUCUUCGGAUCGUAAAACUCUGUUAUUAGGGAAGAACAAAUGUGUAAGUAACUAUGCACGUCUUGACGGUACCUAAUCAGAAAGCCACGGCUAACUACGUG
rnacentral:rRNA from 1 species